GCUGGGUGUGGUGGCGCACACCUGUAAUCCCAGCGGUUUGGGAGGCCAGGACAGGAGGACCAAGGGUUCAAAGCCAGCCUCAGCAACAGUGAGGUGCUAAGCAAUUCAGUGAGACCCUGUCUCUA
rnacentral:sRNA from 1 species